rnacentral:rRNA from 1 species
GACGAACGCUGGCGGCGUGCUUAACACAUGCCAGUCGAACGGAAAGGCCCUGCUUUUGUGGGGUGCUCGAGUGGCGAACGGGUGAGUAACACGUGAGUAACCUGCCCUUGACUUUGGGAUAACUUCAGGAAACUGGGGCUAAUACCGGAUAGGAGCUCCUGCUGCAUGGUGGGGGUUGGAAAGUUUCGGCGGUUGGGGAUGGACUCGCGGCUUAUCAGCUUGUUGGUGGGGUAGUGGCUUACCAAGGCUUUGACGGGUAGCCGGCCUGAGAGGGUGACCGGCCACAUUGGGACUGAGAUACGGCCCAGACUCCUACGGGAGGCAGCAGUGGGGAAUAUUGCACAAUGGGCGGAAGCCUGAUGCAGCAACGCCGCGUGCGGGAUGACGGCCUGCGGUUUGUAAACCGCUUUCGCCUGUGACGAAGCGUGAGUGACGGUAAUGGGUAAAGAAGCACCGGCUAACUACGUG